rnacentral:rRNA from 1 species
AACGAACGCUGGCGGCAGGCUUAACACAUGCAAGUCGAACGCCCCGCAAGGGGAGUGGCAGACGGGUGAGUAACACGUGGGAACGUGCCCUAAGGUUUGGAAUAUUCCCGGGAAACUGGGAGCAAUACCAAAUGUGUCCGCAAGGAGAAAGAUUUAUCGCCUUAGGAUCGGCCCGCGUUGGAUUAGCUAGUUGGUGGGGUAAAAGCCUACCAAGGCGACGAUCCAUAGCUGGUCUGAGAGGACGACCAGCCACACUGGGACUGAGACACGGCCCAGACUCCUACGGGAGGCAGCAGUGGGGAAUCUUGGACAAUGGGCGCAAGCCUGAUCCAGCCAUGCCGCGUGAGUGAUGAAGGCCUUAGGGUUGUAAAACUCUUUCGCCGAGGACGAUAAUGACGGUACUCGGAGAAGAAGCUCCGGCUAACUUCGUGCCAGCCGCCG